GACGGAGGGUGCUAGCGUUGUUCGGAAUCACUGGGCGUAAAGGGCGCGUAGGCGGCCUUGCAAGUCGGUUGGUGAAAGCCCGGGGCUCAACCCCGGAGGUGCGGCCGAGACUGCAGGGCUGGAGGCCGGAAGAGGAGGGUGGAAUACCCAGUGUAGAGGUGAAAUUCGUAGAUAUUGGGUGGAACACCGGUGGCGAAAGCAGCUCGCUGGGACGUUACUGACGCUGAGACGCGAAAGCGUGGGGAGCAAACAGG
rnacentral:rRNA from 1 species